rnacentral:lncRNA from 8 species
GUGAAAAGACGUAACUUACCAGUGUGGUCAUCGUCGUCAUCAUCGUCGUCAUCGUCGUCAUCAUCAUCGUUGUCAUCAUCGUCAUCCUCAUCGUCGUCAUCAUCGUUGUUGUUAUCGUCGUCAUCAUCAUCGUUGUCGUCAUCAUCAUCAUCGUCGUUAUCAUCAUCGUCGUCAUCGUCGUCGUCAUCAUCAUCGUCGUCAUCAUCGUCGUCAUCAUCAUCGUCGUCAUCAUCAUCGUCGUCAUCAUCGUCGUCGUCAUCAUCGUCGUUAUCAUCGUCGUCAUCAUCAUCGUCGUUAUCAUCGUCGUCGUCGUCAUCGUCGUCAUCAUCCUCGUCGUCCUCUUUACUGUCCCCAUCAUCAUCAUCAUCGUCGUCGUCAUCUCCUCCUACAUCCGCUGCAUGCUCCCCCUCAUCAUCAGCUACUACAUCCUGUUGGGGGGCCAGCGGCAGGGCUAGGAACAGUCCCAAGAGCCACGUCUUAAAGGAGGCCAUGAUUAAUCUCAGAACAAAGGGUUGAGAGUGAGGGACGAUAGAUAAACGAGGAGAGUGAGGGAUAAUACCAGAUAAACGAGGGAUCACUCCCUUUGCAGUGCAAUGGUUUAGCACGUGCACACUGACACCCCCAGAGUUUGUUGCCUUUCUGUCCCACACACACACAAUACACCCACACACACACACAAACCCUAAGGACAGCGAUGGGGAACGGGCACCAGUUAUAAAGAAGUGCACACAAUAGGCCUAUGUAAUGCCCAGUUGAACGGGGAUAUUCCAAGUAGAAAUCCAGACACUUGUUCUCAACUCCUCACAACACGACGAUAAACCAAAUCCCUCCUGGAAAAGGUAGGUGUCCUUCUCCUUUGGAGAAAAAAAAGUAACCCUCUUGUCCUCCUUAAAUAGUGCUUGUUUACUCCACCCUUUAAAGUUUAAGCAUGCAGUAAAAUGGCACAGUUUGAAGAGACCCCGUUGCAGACCCGACACAGACGGCACUAAUGUGGGACGGGCAGGAGAAGAGAGAGACCAACCCGGGGGGUAAGAUGAGAAGGAAGGGGGGCAAUUAGGCUGAGUGACAGGGGCAAAUGCUCCACCGUUGACCAUGCUUGCACCGUCUAAAAUGGAAUGAACAGGGAAGAGAGGCACAUAGCGAGAGGGAGGGAGAGAGAGGGGCAGAUAUUGCUUGCUUUUUUGCCGUCAUCAAAUGUUCAAGUUUAACUUUAGAGAGGACGGUGGGAGAAGGAGGCUCAGGCCAGGAUGACCAUAUAUCGUGAAAGAAGGGAGGUGGAAGGAGGAAGAGUUGAAAUAGCAAAGGGGAGAGUGAGAGGGGUGAUAUCAGAACUAUAUCAGUGGAACGAGUGAGGGGGAGAGAGAAAAGAGAGCGUUGGUGAUCUAUCAUAUCAGCUAUCAAUUGGGAACUAUUUGCCAAUGUCAAUGCCUAUGCCAAUUAGUUUUGUACCAAAUGUUCCACUUAGUUUUUACCCACCAUUUUUAUAUGCCCACCAACCCACCACUCUCACAAUUCCAGCAAUGUAGGAACAAGCAAUGAACCAGCCCUUGGUGACACACACACAUUACCAAGCAUUGCAGGCACAAUGAUCAACAAUGAAUGGCCUGGUCUUCACACUCAACCCAUAUAGCCAUUUCACUACCUUCCUUCUGAGUACACCCCCUCCCCGGUACUCCUUAGCCCCGCCUGAACAUGUAGCCCCCAAAAUAGCCACUCUAUUUAAAACCCUGCACUCCCAGAGUCAGUGUAAUGUGACCAUCCCUGGCACUGUGAGUUGACUGACACUCUGAAGAGACCACCGUCUCGCUCUCUCUCUCUCUCUCUCUCCUCUUUCUCCUCUUUCUUCCCCUCCCUUCUGAUACUCUAUACCACCCUCUCUCUACCCCUCUUUUUCACUCUCUCUCUCUCUUUCUCUAUCCCCCUCCUUUCAUAAUCCUCUCUUCCACAUCUCCAGCUGCUCCCCAUGAGAGGUCAGCGAGAGGAGCCUCUGCAAACUAUAUCUGCAAAGCCUCCAAAAUGAAGCCAAACCCAACCAAUCAGGGCCAAAUUUACCCAAAGCUUUUGCACUUGUUGCACCUCCCUUUAUUUCAUCUUUCGUUCAACACUCUGUUUUUUUCCGAUUGGAAAAUAAAAGGUGCAAACUUUCUGCAAUGAUUAGUGAAUCUGGCCCUAUGGUCCCCACCCCAUUUCUCACUACUACCAGCCCAAACUUCUGUACUACUGUGUGAAACAGUUAUGAUUGAGACCAC